AGGCCGCCACAACAGCCGCGCCGCAGCCGGCGCCGCCCGCAGGCCCGCGGGGGCCCGGCAGCCGCUGCCCUUGGCAGACCCUGCGGCGGUGCUGGGGGUCGGGUUUGUGAGCGCUUCCCCCGCCCCCGGCCGUCCCUCCGAGGAGCAGUAGACAGAAUCAGAUGUGAGCUUAUGCCAGUGGUUGUGACAAGGCUAGAGUCUGCAUGUGAAGAUAUCCAAAUCCUCUUGACGUGCGUUCUCUAUGAAGUCUGAAAGGCCCAGGACAUUCUUGAUUACUCCAGCAGUGACAGAGUACAUGAACAGCAAUAUCCCAAGAAUGUCAACAUCUCAGUGCAAUAUGACUGCAAUACAAAUUAUUUUGGACUCAUGCUGUGACUCUUUAGGGGAAGAGACUCUCCGUCUCCACCACAGUACCUUCACAGAGCUCAUCAGCAGAGCUUUUCCAGAGGGUGGACAACCUAGGUAAUCUCUGCUGUUUGAAUCAUUCAUCUUUGUCAAGUAUUUCUUGCUAUGAUAAGCUUCCAGUUUAAUUUGUGGGUAGAAUAAUUCAUAUUCAGAGCAGUGGUAGCAGAACUGUAUCCAAGCUGGGAAAAUGCUGGUCCUUACUUGCCACAAUACCAUACAGUUUCAAGAUGCUGCUGUUUGCUUAAUUAGAGAAAGGGGAAUGAAAAGCUCUGUAGCUCUCCACUGGCACACCAGGGGUGUGAGCAGCCCCUGCUCACCCAGUCCACAUCUCAGCAUUGAUGAGACCAGCACUGGACUGCAGCAGGGCCCCAGCAGCCAGUGCCACCUCUCCCCUUGUGUGAAACCCUCUGAGCAGCUGCAGCAGUGGCAGCCCUGGACACAGACUCUGGGCAGCUCUAGGUCUCCCUCUCCAGGAGCAAGGCUGAUGAAAAGGCAACUGCUGAAGCUGAUCAUCGGGUCCUUCAUUUGCUAGCUUCUUCAGAAUGUAAGAUUGUGAAUCCAACCACUGAAAAAAAUCUUUCUUAUUGCACUCACAUGACUGUAAUGUGUUUGAACUUCCAGGUUAAGCAGUUAAGAGAGCAAAGCAUAGUGAGGAAAUACUUAAGAGACGAUCUCCUGGGCCUUCAGAGCAAAGGGACUUCUCCUGACUCUUUGCAGUAAUUAAUUUAUUAACUGCCAGGAAAGAGAAAUAAUAAUAACAAGCACGUGUCAGUAUUUCUCAGAACUUGUUCCUUCCCCAAGAAGUGGGUCUGGCACUUCUGCAAAGGCACCCAGAGGCUCAGCAGGUGCAUGAGGGGCUGGCAGCCUCCACGCAGCAACGGGAGCUCUGCCGAAGGUACUGCUACCUGUAGCAUUGCACCAGUUUACUUAAAUUUAAUGGGGUGGCAACUUACAACACUAUAAACAAGUUUUCCAAUA